rnacentral:lncRNA from 1 species
GGUGGUCAUGAGGGCUGACUGAGGAACAGGCUGUGCACACGCAGCUCAGGACCUUGUGAGAGCAUCAGGCCUGCCAACAACCCCAUGGUACAACAAGAAAAUGGCUGUGCUGGAGCCCUGGACGCCGGAAAUCUGAGAUGAAGGUGCCGGCAGGGCCCUGCCCGCUCUGAAGUCUCUGGGGGAAGCUUCUUUGCCUCUUCCAGCUUCUGGUGGCUCCACGCACUGCUGGGCUCGUGGCUGCCUCCCUCUGGUCUCUGCCCCGGUCUGCACGUGGCCUUCCCUGCGUGUUUCUGUGUCCUUGCUGCUGCUUAGAAGCACAGCAGCCAUUGGAUUAGGACCCACUCUCAUCCAGCAUGGCCUCAUCUUAACUCAUUACGUCUACAAAAUCUCCAUUUCCAAAUAAGGUCCCAUUCUGGGGUCCUGAGUGGACACGGCGGGGACACCAUCAACCCAUCCUAAGGCCUUCUUGGGCAGCCUCAGGGGGAAGCCGGACCAGCCUUAAGUGAAAGUGGAGGGUUCCAAGGAUCCUACAAAGGGGCCCUGACCCAGUCGGUGGGCAGCAGGGGACAGAGUGGACGUGGAACUUGUAGACAGACAGAACGAUGCACAGGACUCACCCCCACCACCAGAGGUCUGUGUGCAGAGACGACAGAGGGCAGCGUCCCUCCCACUGCCCAUCACCCAUGGAGUGUGGAAAAUCCCGGUCAAGACAGCAGCCCGGGCCGUGAAAUCGAAUCUGGGGGUCCCAAGCAUCGGCGUUUGUGCAGCUCUCGGUGGUUCCAAAGUCAGCCAAGAUCUCGGUUCUGGGCCGCCAGGGGCUCUGGAGUCAGACACCUCGUGUCUAAGUCUCCACCAGUUACUGACCGAGCGACCUCAGCAGUACGUUCACCGCUCCGGGUGUCCCUGUCCCCUGUGGAUGGCAUCAUUGCCUCCCUUAUGGAGAUGAGAAGAAUCAAACGGGAACGUUGGCUCCGUGCCUGUCACGAGGGAAGUGCUUGAUAGACGGUGCCCUUCUGCGCCACGUAGAGAGAAAACCGAGGGAGCCUCAUUUAAACUGCAGGCCUGGGAAGGCCUGUGGACUUUCAGGGAAGCUGAGAAGGGGCCCUGGCACCGGUCUGCAUGCCAGCUGGGCAGGGCAGGGUGAGCCUGGUGCAUAUACCUGGGGCCACACAGCAGGGCCUCAUGCUUCUUUUUUGGACCCACUUGACGGAUGGGGAGACUGAGUUCAGAGAGGCCAAGUGGCUUGCCAGGGUCACGCAGCUGAUACACAGCAAAUGGAUUUUAAACCCACCUGACCGCAAUUCCAAGCAUUGUUUUCUUGGGUCAAACCUUGGGAGCUCAAAGGGUGAUCCUGACCUGUGAUGGCUCCAUUUUAUGCAGAAUAUUUUGUUUUGUUUUUUAAUUUGCCUGUUUACUCUAAUGUUCCCAGUCGUUUUCCUCCCAGGGAUCCUCACUCACAAGUGGACUCUGACGGCCUCGGGGGCUCAGAUUUCACAAUCGGCUAAGGCUAACAUAAGGCCUUCCAGGUUACAAGGCUGAAAGUUAUUUUCCAUCAUUCAUUUGUUCACUUUACAUAACAUGCACCUAUUGAGCACCUGCUGUAUACUGGGAACCAAGUUAAACACCAGGUUUGCAGAGGUGGACAAGGCCCUGUUCCUGCCUCCAGGGUCUCCAACCCAUCAGGAGACGCAGGCCCUUUGACAGACACUGGUGAUAAAAUGACAGUGGAGGUCUGUUCAAGAUACAGGCAAGUUGGAUGGGUGGGGUGGGAAUGCCCACUGCCCUUGAGGGUGGGCAGGGGACAGAGGUGUCAUUUACGGUGGGUGUCAAGGAGUUUGGUUCAGAACAAGAGCAAAGGCGUGUGCCCCAGGAUGUGGGACAGCACGUGGGAAGACAAGGUGAGGCAGACUUUGGGGACUAUCAGGGGCUCCAAGUGGUUGGUGUUGGGGGUGUCGAGAAGUGGAGGUGGAGGCCAGGACAGGACAGGGGCUGGGUGAGAGGCUAGUGCAGACAGGCAGAGGGAGGCAUGGCAGGGCAGUGAUGGGAGGAGGAGGGCCGCUGGGGUAAGGUGUAGUCUCAGUAGUUCCGUGGGUCUGGCUGCUUCCCAGGAGCUGACUAGACCCUCAUGGCCAAGUUCAUAGUCCUAUGCAGUCUGACCUUAGCCUACCUGCCCAGCCCAAUCCCUCUGCAGCUGCCACUCACACCUUCCAGCCGAGAACAUCUUCCCAGCUAGGAAACCGUCACACCUGUACACCUUUGCACCUGCUUGUCCCCUCACUCCCUGGGGCAUGCCCACCCGUGCAUCAGUUGAAGCCCAAAUGUGCCAUCAUCUGAGAAACAUUCCCAGUGUCCCCACAAAAAGAGGCUGGUGCCUCCUCUCGGCCACUGCAGCCUGGACAUCUGCCUAUUCAUUCAUGCUGUCGCCACACUGCACUGCCAUGGCUCAUGUAUGUGAGUUUCCUCUUCCCUGCUGUUGAGUGUAGGCUUCUUAAUUAUCUCUAUAUAUCACUAGCCCCUAGGAACAAGGUUCGCCACACAGUAGCUGCUCAGGGCUUUUGAUGAAAGAAGGAAUGAGAUUGCUGGCAAGGUAGGUGGGGGGAUGGUGGGAUGGAUGGAUGGAUGACUGGAUGG